GACGAACGCUGGCGGCGUGCCUAACACAUGCAAGUCGAACGGAAAGGCAUGCUUUCCCUUGUGGAUUGCGGGUACUCGAGUGGCGAACGGGGGAGUAACACGGGAGUGAUCUGUCCCCAACUUGGGAAUAAGCCAGGGAAACUGGGUUUAAUUCCCGAAACGACGGCAGGAUGGUGCCUGUGGUGGGAAACGAUUUUCUAGAGGUUGGGGAUGAGCUCGCGGCCUAUGAGCUUGUUGGUGGGGUAAUGGACCGCCAAGGCGGCGACGGGUAGCCGGCCUGAGAGGAUGGACGGUGGAAUUGGGACUGGGUUCCGGCCCAGACUGCAGCGGGAAGCAGCAGUUAGUGAUAUUGCACCAUGGGCCUAAGCCUGAUGCAGCGAGGCCGCGUGGGGGAUGACGGCGUUGGGGUUGUAAUCUCCUGUGAACCGCAAGGAAGCCACCUAGUUGGAAGUGUGGUGACGGUAGUGAAAGAAGAAGCACCGGCUAACUACGUG
rnacentral:rRNA from 1 species